UACAGAGGGUGCGAGCGUUGUCCGGAAUCACUGGGCGUAAAGGGCGCGUAGGCGGCCUGAUAAGUAGGGGGUGAAAUCCUGUGGCUUAACUGCAGGGCUGCCUCCUAGACUGUUAGGCUCGAGCACGGUAGAGGCAGAUGGAAUUCCAGGUGUAGCGGUGAAAUGCGUAGAUAUCUGGAGGAAUACCGGUGGCGAAGGCGGCAUCCUGGACCGAGAUUGACACUGAUGAGCGAAAGCUAGGGGAGCAAACGGG
rnacentral:rRNA from 1 species